rnacentral:rRNA from 1 species
GCCUGCAACUCGGCUGCAUGAAGCUGGAAUCGCUAGUAAUCGCGGAUCAGAAUGCCGCGGUGAAUACGUUCCCGGGUCUUGUACACACCGCCCGUCACACCAUGGGAGUAGGUAAUGCCCGAAGUCGGUGACCUAACCGGAAGGAAGGAGCCGCCGAAGGCAGGACUUAUAACUGGGGUGAAGUCGUAACAAGGUACC